ensembl:snRNA U6 U6 spliceosomal RNA
CUGCUCGCCUUGGCAUCACAUAGACUAAAAUUGGAAUGAUACAGAAAAAAUUAGCACGGCCCCUGCGCAAGGAUGAUACACAGAUUCAUGAAGCAUUCCAUGUUUUU